rnacentral:rRNA from 1 species
UACGGGGGGAGCAAGCGUUGUUCGGAUUUACUGGGCGUAAAGGGCGCGUAGGCGGUCGUGACAAGUCACUUGUGAAAUCUCCGGGCUUAACUCGGAACGGUCAAGUGAUACUGUCGGACUAGAGUACAGAAGGGGCAACUGGAAUUCUCGGUGUAGCGGUGAAAUGCGUAGAUAUCGAGAGGAACACCUGAGGCGAAGGCGGGUUGCUAGGCUGACACUGACGCUGAGGCGCGAAGGCCAGGGGAGCAAACGGG